rnacentral:sRNA from 1 species
AUCAGUAAUGCAAAUGGGAAGUAGCUGCGUGCAUGAAAUCUCUAAAAACAGAAGUACAAAAAAAGCUGUCAAAUUUAAUUGCGUAAAAUUAUGGAAAUAUUUAAAUCGGGCUCUAAAAGCGGCACCUAACAAUAGCUCAUCGAGUUGGUAGCCAAUCGAGCCACCCACUCAGUUGCCAGGGCAGGUGUUUUUAGAUUCAAAUUCUGGACACGUUUCCAAUGGAUUGGCUUUGUUGCCGGUAGUAAGAAUCGCCUGCUGCAUAACAAGGGGAACUCGUCAGCGGAAAAAAAUGAUCAGUAAACUUCAGUAUUAAGUGUUUCAAUAAAAAACAGUCAAAGUAUUUGAUACAAAAUGUUAUAACAUGGCCCUGAAACAGAUCAUAUAACCGAGCCCCCUUAGGUACGAUAAAGAACACUAAAUAACGUUCCGAAUGCACUCGAAUGCCUGCACAAUAAGUAAAUAACAAAUAAAGUGAAAAUUAACAAAAUUGAAUUUAAUGAGUGGCCCACUAAGUCGAGUGCAUUUGAAGAGGAAAACAACAGGGGCAUGGAAAUCGACGCACGCCUUGAAGAAAAUCGUUCAACUGUAGACAGCCUAGCGCCAAACCCACAAAAAUUCCCCCAGUUAGGCCGAAUGCACAACGCCAAGUCUAAAAUUGAACAAAAAAAAGUUCAAAAGUACUAGAAGAAUUAUAAACUUAAGCUUGGACAUUAGGAAUGCCGCAGUGUGUCCUACAGUGCAUACAUCCUACAGAGUCUUGGCCCCGUUCAAUAUAACCUCCCUAGCCUGGAGCUUGGAAACCUGAUGAUCGACAA